UUUUUUUAAAAUAAGUGUUUUAAUUGAACUCAUAUACACACAUACAGAAAAGUACAAAAAUCCUAGGUGUACAGCUUCGUGAUUUUUGUUUUUACAAAGUGAACCCUCUGUAUUACCAACGCAGAAAUAAAAUAAUUACCUUCCUCUAAAUAUAGGUUCCAUCGAUUGGGAUCACCUGUACUUGAACUUUACAUAAGUGGAAUCAUACAAUAUGCACUCUCACGUGACUGACUUCUUCUUGCUCAGUGCUGUUUGUAAGAUUCAUCCAUGUGGUUGCAUGAAUAGAUGUGUUGACUUUUCUUGCGGUCUGCUAUUCUAUUCUAAGAAUAUGCUAACUUUGUUUAAGCUUUCUUCUGUUGAUGGACAUUGAACCAGGAAAGCAUCCCUCAUCCCCAGACACCACAUGUGCCAGCACCUUGAUUUGGGACUUGUCAGCCUCCAGAACUGUGAGCAAUGAAUAUUUGUUGUUUAUAAUCUAACCAGUCUAUGGCAUUUUGCUAGAGCAGCCCAGAUAGACUAAGACAGACAUUUGGGAGCUAUGACAAGUAGUGUUGCUAUAAACAUUCAUAGACAUGUCUCUUGCCCUGAAGAAGGUUUUUCUGUUUGGUAUAUAACAAGGAGUAGACUCUUGGGAUCAUACAAAAUGCACACAUUCAGUUUCAGCAGACGCUGCCAGACCAUUUUUCAAAGCAGUUGCAUCAGUAUAUACUCCCUCUAAUUGCUCCACAUCCUAACUGGUUCUCCAUACGGUUAAUUUUAUUUAUUUAUUUAUUUGCUUUUUAGGGCCACACCCACGGCAUUUGGAGGUUCCCAGGCUAGAGGUCAAAUCAGAGCUAUAAGCACAGCAAUGUAGGAUCCGAGCCGCAUCUGCAACCUACACCACAGCUCACGGCCAGGCUGGAUCCCUGACCCACUGAACAAGGCCAGGGACUGAACCUGCGUCCUCAUGGAUACUAGCUGGAUUCAUUUCCACUGUGCCAUGACAGGAAAUCCCUCAAUACUGUUAAUUUUUUUUAAUGUCAACCAUUGUGAUAGGUAUGAAGCAAUACCCCAUUGUGGUUUUAAUUGGUAUUUCUCUUAUUACUAAAAAGUCUGAGCAUUUUUUUCCUUAUGCUUGUUGGACUUUUAUAUAAUCUCUUCUUUGUGUUUUUUUUUUUUUGCAUGUUUGAAAAGCCUGUCCCAGUUUUUUACACCCCCCCCCUUUUUUUUACUAAUCUGUAGGCAUUUUUUACGUCUUCCAGGCAUGAGUCUUCUUUCAGCAACAUCUGUUACAAACAUUUUCUCCCACUCUGUGACUUGCCUUUUCACCCUUUAAAUAGUGUCUCUUGAUAAACAGAAGUUCUAAAUGAUGUUCCAUUUAUCAAUAUUUCCCUUUUUGGUUGGUGCCUGGUUUAAGAAAUCUGAACCAACUCCAGGUGACAAAGGCAUUCUCCCCAGUUAUCUCCUAGGGGUAGCAUUACUCUGGUUUGUGCAAGAACUGGUUUUUGUGUAUUGAUUUACUAGAGGUAAUAGUCGAUCGACCUGGCCCUAUUUAUUGAAAAGCAUAUACUUUUCCCCAUGGCAAUGCAGUGGCAUCUUUGCUAUGUAUUAUUAAGUGUGAGUUUAUUUCUGAACUCCAUUCUGUUCCAUUGGGCUAUUUGUCUACUCUUGCGACACCACCAAAGUCUUAAUUAUCACUUUAGAAUAAGUCUUGGUAUUCGGUAAUAAAACUUUUCCAACUUCAUUUGUUAAGGCUGUCUUUUGUGUGCAUUUCCAUAUGGAUUUUGGAAUUAAUUUAUCAAGUUCUACACAAAAAGCUCUUGUGGACAUUUGGAUUAGUAUUGCAUUGAAUCAAUAGAUUGGUCUGGAGAGAACUGAAAGCUUACACUUGUUGUGUCAAAGGAUUUCCUAUUUAAUAAUUUAUUUUCAAUUUUCUCUGACUCAUAAGUCAAGACACAAGCUCCAUGAGAGCAGGAUUUUAUCCAUGUUGUUUACUGAUCCAUUCCAGAACCUAGAAUAUUACCUGGCACAUUUCAGGCUCUCAAAAAAAUUUUUUUGAGGUAAUUACUUAAUAUUCUGAGUUGCCUCUUUAUCCUCCCCUCUCCUUUUUCUGGGUCAAUCUAUCUCAUCCUUCAGAUCUGAAAUCAUACCAUUUCCUCCGGGGAGCUUUGCCCGAUGACCAGACUAGGUCAGGCUCCUUUAUCUGCCCCUGUUAUGACCUCCUGUACUCUUUUUUUAGCGCUUACCUACAUACUAUUAUGAAACAGCAAUAGUCGACAUUAGUCUCCCAUGCAGAAUAUAAGCUCUGUGAGGACAAGGGCCAAGUCUGACUUAAUUUCUUACUCACUGCUGUGCUCCCAGUGCUUAGCCUGGUACCACGCACAAGGCAGGUGUCAGAGCAUAUUAAGUUCCUGGGAGUUCUCAUUGUGGCUCAGUGGUUAAUGCACCCAACUAGGAUCCAUGAGGAUGCAGGUUCGAUCCCUGGCCUCACUCAUAGGUUAAGGAUCCUGCGUUGCCGUGAGCUGUGGUAUAGGUCCCAGAUGCGGCUCGGAUCCAGUGUUGCUGUGGCUGUGGCUGUGGCUGGCAGCCGUAGCCCCGAUUUGACCCCUAGCCUGGGAACUUCCAGAUGCCACAGGUUCAGCUCUAAAAAGCAACAACAAAGAAAAGUUCCUGUUGUGAGUUCCUGCUGUGGCUCAGAGAAUUAAGGACCUGCUAUUGUUUCUGUGAGGAGGUGGGUUCAAUCUCUGGCCUCACUCAAUGGGUUAAGGAUCUGGCAUUACCACAGGCUGCAGUGUAGGUCACAGAUGUGGCAUAGGCCCCAGCUGCAGCUCCAAUUCACCCCUAGCCCAGGAACUUCCCUAUGCCACAGGUGGACCAUAAAAAGUAAAAAAAAUUAUUAAAUUAUUGUCCAAAAGCUCCCUACUCUCCCUCUGCCAUUUCUUAAAAAUAGAGGUUAUGUAUACCAACACUUUGCUAUCUUAACAUCAGAAAUCUCUCUAAAUGUUUUCCGCUGCUUUUAUUUUAUGGAUUAUUUGGUGGACGCGUUCUCUACCGCAUUUCCUGGGGUGGGAAGGGGGUCCUUCAGGAACCCCACUCCAGACUGGCUGAAUCAGAAGACUCCUAAGCACUUGGGGUAGCACGUUGCUAACAAACUCUGCAAGUAACUGCUGUGGUGAUGAGUUUGGCAGAGUCACAUCUCUGGAUUACUUUCAUGACACUGCUGCUUUAUCUCUUGCAUGCCGUAAUUUUUGUAACACAGCUCCGGGUCCAGCUUCUCUCCUCAUCCCUGCCCAUGUCAUGUUCUGC
rnacentral:lncRNA from 1 species